GAGAAAGCAAGUAGCUGUACCUUUUAUAGCUGGACAGGUAUUUAAAAGAGAGAGAGAGAGAGAGAGAGAGAGAGAGAGAGAGAGAGUGCAUUAGGCCCUCUGAAGAACUGUGUAUAAACCCUGGAGCUCAGUCACUCACAGCGGGAUAACUGGGGUGACAAUGUUGCUCAGAUCCUGCACCCAGCUUUGCUGGUAGGGAAUAUUUCUGGCCUGGAGCCAUGGAGCUGGCUGGUAGGAAUCCAGGCCCUAAGCCUUUGUGAGAAUCAAUCGCCCUCAUCUACCUCUUUGCCCCCACCUCUGCCAAAGACAUCCCCUUUGCCCCCGUUUCCUUUCUGGACAGACCACACCACCAGACUGACUCAGGCACGCUGCAGAGCCACAGUGCCCCAAGCCCCAGCUCUGACUCAGCCCGGGAAGUAGCUAUCUCAUCUCGGCUCUCUGAAGGUGAGGGGGUGGCAGAUAAGGUUUACAGCCCUGGACAGCUCAUUCUCUGAAGGUUCUGCACAGAUCCCACCCGGCAGCAUUCCUCCCAGGCCUGCCUGGCUUACUCAGGCUUUCUUAGGAAUUCAGGCUGUCUGAGGUCUCCUUUUCACCUCCUCCAUUGGCACCUACUUCUCUGGAGGUUAUCAUUCCAUCUUCUGGUCUUGCUCAAUGGAGGCCUGCUGCCCCAGCCUCAUCUGUUCUGGGCUUCUGAACAAGCCUAGCCUGGCCUCACUCUCCUGCCUGGUACACAUUUCUGCUUCCGGUACUUGUCCAACUCUGCCUCCUUCUUCACUGCUUCUGGAGAUACUUUGGGUGCAUUGGGAAAACAGAUCAAAAUCACACUCAUGCUGUCUCGACUUCCCUUAUACAAACAGGUGUCAACUACUUCAUUGCAAACUUUCCCAAGAUCAUCAGUGACUUCAAGCCUGGAUCUUAAAAAAAUCACAGAGCUCUUCGUUUCCCAUAACAUUCCAGAUACCAUCACAUGCAAGAAUAAGGAACAGAUCAUCUUCUUCAGAUCUCUCAAUAUCACGGACUUCAGGAGCUGGUGAGACAAGCUGUUCUGUAGGAUCUUUUCCGGGGACAGAUUUGUAAUCGAAAUCCCCAAGGGCCCUGGACACAGCCGGAGAGCCAUUCACACGCUGAGUCAUUACAGAGCCACCUGCAUUCUGAAUUCAUUCUUUUUCCAGCAGAUUAUUUGGUUUGUGAUCUUGUGUGAAGAAGUGAACUUUCCUCUUCCUACAAAGUAAAUCUGUUGAGUCUCCACAUUACUUAUUAAUGAAAUAAGUAUGUUGGGGUGAGAUCAAGACACCACAUCUGUGGACCCACUUCUGUCUGCACCGUGUUUCUUCUCUGACAUAACUCUCAUGUGUUCAUCAAUCUCCAGAAAAUCUGCUCUGAUUCCAUUCUUUACAUUUUCCACAGAAGGUGCUCCUGAAGGUCCUUUAAAAUCUUGAUUAUUGGUGAUGUGAUCUAACAACAAAUGCUCACAGCAGUAUUUGGCAACCCGAGAACCAGCAUGCCCAUCGUAUGCAGCAAAGAAUGACCACGUUUCCUUCCAGUCCACUUGGCAAGCCAGUCACAGCCGUGUGCAUCCUCCCUUUCUACUCGCCAAUCUUGCACGCUGCUUAGCCCUUAUUGCAACCCAUUACCCUGCCCUUGGGCAUUAUGCUUUUCUAUCUUUGGCUUGUCCAAAAAUGCUCCCAUUAUGUCUUGAUCCUCUAGGUCAUCUUUCCUUCCUGCAAAUACAUAAACAACUGCUACUUCUUCUAUCUAAACGGGAGCUAUUCCCUCAGCUCUUAGUUUAGCUAAUUUCUAUGAACUCUUCAGAUUUCAACUUCAGCGUCAGAUCUGCGGGAGAGCUUCCUUUCUCUGAAUUCCCUAAGUCAAUUCUCCAGCACAGAGCAUACUGUAGAACAUUUGCUGGAUAAGUAAACCGGAGCCACCUCGGGCGGGCAGGACCCUGGUCGACCCAGGCUGCGACGGCGGCCCGAGAAG
ensembl:lincRNA